UUUGAUGGCGGCCGGCGCACGGGUGAGUAACACGUAUCCAACCUGCCGAUGACUCGGGGAUAGCCUUUCGAAAGAAAGAUUAAUACCCGAUGGCAUAGUUCUUCCGCAUGGUAGAACUAUUAAAGAAUUUCGGUCAUCGAUGGGGAUGCGUUCCAUUAGGUUGUUGGCGGGGUAACGGCCCACCAAGCCUUCGAUGGAUAGGGGUUCUGAGAGGAAGGUCCCCCACAUUGGAACUGAGACACGGUCCAAACUCCUACGGGAGGCAGCAUG
rnacentral:rRNA from 1 species